rnacentral:tRNA from 8 species
GCGGGUGUAGUUCAAUGGUAGAACAUCAGCUUCCCAAGCUGAAUACGCGAGUUCGAUUCUCGUCACCCGCUCCA